rnacentral:snRNA from 1 species
AUCUUUAUCUGGCAGGGGAGAUACCAUGAUCAGGCAGGUUGUUUUUGCAGGGUGAGCCUCAUUCCCUGCACUCUGGAUGUGCUGACCCCUCUGAUUUCCGCAAAUGUGGGAAACUAGAUUGCAUAAUUUGUGGUAGUGGGGACUGCAUUUGUGCUUUCCCCU